CAAGCCGCGGUCCAGGGCCCGGCGGCCCCGCCCCCCACCCCCUCCUUGAUCCCUGAGGAAUCCCGGGAAUUGGGAAGUGGGUCCAGAUGAUGUUGACACAGGAAAUGGUCAGCAGCUGCCCGGCCUCAGCCCCACAACCCCUCUGACCCCCACCCCCGGCCCCCUGCCGAGCCCCCUCUGACCUGUGUCAUCUCUGACGAAGGCAGCCCAGGGCCCACUCAGCACCCACCAGGAUGUUUACAGGAGAUGGGCAGGACAGGAGUCAGCCUCACAGGGCUUCCUGAGAAAUGGGGUCUGGACUCCUGGACAGCUGCCCUCAGACCAGGAGUCUGAGCCCUCUGUCCUCCUCCUCCCUCAGACCCAGGGGUCCAGGCCCCCAGCCCCUCCUCCCUCAGACCCAGGGGUCCAGACCCUCAGCCCCCUCCUCCCUCAGACCCAGGAGUCUGAGCCCCUGCGCCUUCCUGCCUCAGACCUGGGAGUCCUUACCACCAGAAACCCCCUUCUCUCGAAUCCAGGUAUCCAGACCCCUAGCUCCCCUUUCUCUCAGACUCAGGAUCUGGACACAAAGACACACUGCCCAGGGGAACUGAGCCCCUUCCCCACUCUCUGAAAAGUUGAGUCGGGUUCAGGGGAGAACCAGGGUUCAUGUCUCCAACCCAGUCCCCAAAUUGACCUCCUACCCCACCACUGCGAGGGACCAAACCAGGAGCUUGGGGACCUCCACUUGGAUCUGUUUCCCUGUUUGCAGAUGGGAAUGGAAUCCAGGGGUUCUUCUAUCCAUGGAGCUGUGAGGGAGAUGUGUGGGACCGGGAGAGCUGUGGGGGCCAGGCAGCAAUUGAGAACCCCAAUCUCUGUCUGCGUCUACGAUGCUGCUACCGCAAUGGGGUCUGCUACCACCAGCGGCCGGACGAAACCAUGCGGAGGAAGCACAUGUGGGCGCUGGGCUGGAUGUGUGGAGGCCUCCUCUUCCUGAUCUCCACUGUCUGCUUGUUCUGGUGGGCCAAGCGACGGGACAUGCUGCGGCUUCCAAGAUUCCUGAAGGACAGGUGCAACCUGUCCAGGACGGUCUCUCUGUUAUCCAAGGACCGGGGGACUCUGAGUGAAAAGAAGACGGCGUCCAUCGGCAGCAUUCCUGCUUCCCUGCCUGCGGAGGGGGCUCUGGAUGUCUCAGGGGGCGAAGGGGAGGGGACAGGAGAAGACGAAGACACCGAAGGUGGGGAGGAUGAAGAUUAGGGGCACCCUCGGGGGACCUCUCAAUACAGAUAAAGCACACAGAUGUGUGGUCUCUUUUCUGAGAAGCAUGAAGCAGGGGGCAGCUCAGACCCGGAGGCAGGGAGUGUGUGUAUGUGUGUUUUGGGGGGACCUGCGCUGAUGGGGGUGCUCGGUUGAUCAUGGAGGCUGUGAGCUGAAGGGCGUCUGGAAUAACAGGUCCAGGGCUCAGUGGGGAGGAGCCAAGCUGAGGGGCACUUGGGGUGAUAAGGGGGUCUCUGAGCUGAUUGUGGGGGCCUGGGUUGAGUGUAGGUCCUGGGCUGUGGAUAUGGGGAUCUGGGCUGGGGGAUAGGGUGAGUGGUGGUGGCCUGGGAUGAUGGGCCAGCUUGGUUGAGGGGUGCCUGAACUGGGCUGGGGGUCAUGUUCAGCUGUGCCCCUCAGCUCUCCUUCUACCACUGCCUGACAGCCUCUGCUGCCUGCCCUUUGGACCCCAUCACCCUCUGCCAUCAUUGGCCUUGCUUCCCACCAAUGCCUGACAGUGGUGGCUCUCAGAUUCCCCUGUGACUGGGCAGAAAUUUUCUUGGAAGUUCAUUACAGUUCAACACCCAUCCUGCUCACACCCCUUACCAUCCCUCUGUCGUUUCUCAGGUGACAGACCCACCCUAACCUAUCCUCCAUAAGUACUGCCCCCAAUAAAUAAAUAAAGUGAAUUUUGCAGGUCUAAUUUGCCUCUCUGUCUGCUUCUCAGUGGGCCCAAAACAAACAGAGAAGCCUGGGCU